ensembl:lncRNA
GUGCUCACAUCCCUCAUCCCUGGCUGUCUGCGCUUCCCCUCUUUCAGAACCUGAUACCUCUGCCGAGUGAUGCAUGAGAUGCACAGUUGGGUGCUUGGGGCAACACUGUGACACUUGGAUUACCAAUUGGGAGCCCCACGUUCUUAUCCUAUUUCCAUUUUCUAUUUUGUGUGCCCUGGGAAAGACACCUCAUUUCCUAAUGAAGAACAGAGAGGAGUCACCAUCCUCCUCCUCAACAGCAGAAGAAAAGAGAGAGACAGCUACACAAACCUACUGAGGUUGAAGCCAGUCAACCAAGCAUAGUCUGUGAUGUUCCAUUUGUACUAAAUGAGGUCAUCUCUGAACCCCAUAAGUCAUCCAGAAAAGACCACGGGCUGCUAACUUGGACCAAUCAAAAUCUGUACCUGGAUUAGAUGGACUGUGUGUUUUCAGCCACUUUCUGCUAGCUUGGAGCAAAUGCAUGGACAUUCUCCUUUGGAGACAGGCUAUGGAUGGAGUCAAAGAACUUAAGAUGAAGGGGUCUACCAGGAAGAUUACUAACUAACGCCGAUCAGGCGAUUCCCGAUUGACUGGUUUAAGAUUGCAUUUUUGAAGGAGUUGAAACUUUUUCAAGCUUGUGUGGAGAUCAUUAAUGAAGCAAUAAGCUAAGGAAAUCCUGGCCUAGUGAAGAGAGAACCUGUGAUUUCAACAAGGACAAUACUUUUGAUUAAGAUGCUACCUGAUUUGUGCUCCGGCUAAUGUCACUCAUGUCAACAGCAUUGCCAAAUGCAAUGAGGUGUGACUGACACCAGGAAAGAUGAUGAGCAACGAGAAUGGCAGCUGGCUGCAUUUCCUUCUUGUAGAAUUUUAAUGAAUCAAGGAGCACCCUGAUAGAGUACAUCCGUACUUGCUAGAAGCAAAGCUGAAUGCUCUCAUCCCCAACUCUGAGAUCUGAGAAACCCAAAGAGGGCUCCACCCUCAUGAUAGGGCUAGAUGGGUCCUGAAUAGAGGAUGAGGACUGAGGAAUAUAAGAAACAGCCACAGGAGAAGACUACAGCCAUUGGGAAAACUGCGGAGAGGUGGGAAAGAAACCUGAGUUCUCUCUCACUCUGUCCUACUCAUUAGUUUUGUGACUUAGGCUAAUUAUUUGUCUUAUUGGGACUCUAUUUUUUAAUGUAAGCAAACACGGAGGCUAUCUUAAGUAAAGACAAUAAAAUAAGUUGUUUAUUUCAAGGAUGCACAGGCAUUUCACGGAAGUCAAAGGGAGAAACACACAGUCUCGUGAGUACUGGGUAAAGGAGCUACAAUGCCACUGCGUGCCUAGGAGGAAAACGUUUUCCUCUUUCCUCAUUGCUUCCUUCUGUGAAUCUGCUUCUUUCUCACUUCAGUCAAUCAUUUUUUUGCUACCUAGUAUGCCUGGUGGAAUAACCCAAGUUUGAAUGGUAUAGGUCCAGCCACAAGGAACAACCGAUUCUCAAUUCUUAUUUCUGCGCCCGAUUCCCAGUCAAAGAUCUGAGCAGCCUAGCUAGUGCCAGGUGUCUUCCCCAGACCCCCAAAGGAUUAACAGAGUAUACAUCAAUUCUAGAUACCAUGCCUGGGGCCUAGUUCUAUGGCCCAAUAGAAGGCAGGUCCAUCCCUGUCACAAAGGGACUGUUUGUGAGCUGAGACAACACUUUCAAAGGUAUCCCAUUAGCUUACGUAACUUUACUCCCUCAAUAUUAAAAUCUGCCUUUUCUUUCCUCAUGAGGUUUUUAAGUCUUAAAUAAUACCAUGUCUGGGGGAAAAUGUGGAAUUCAAAUGACAUUCCAUCUGUCAGGUACUAGCUUUAACCUUAAAUCACCCCAUAAGUCAGGUGUAAAGCAGUCAUAUUUAAACCUAUAUCCUCUAGAUCCCCAAGUUGUAGCCUUCCUUUCACAGAUACCUGGAGGUCAAUGUCAUUGCCAGAAAAAAAGAAAAAGCUUUCCUAGUGUGAACAUUAUAGGUCUUAGAGUUCACUGACAAGCCAGAACAUUCUUCCUUUUCUAGGUUUGUAAUUAAUUCCCCUGUUUGCAUUAUGUAAAUAGUGCUUUGUAUAAUUUCAU